CUCACUUCUCCUUCGUCACAGAGCUCCCAGCAAUGUCCUGGCCACAUUCUCAUUAAGGUCCCAAUGGUGAGCAAAACCUCAGUGUCAGAUGGAACACACUGUGAUGACCUGUGGAUAGAAGUUUUUUUUCUUUUCCAGUCGACUUGCUAAUGUCUGCUGGCGUUCUUUUAGCUAAAGUCUUGAGAUCUGCUCCUGGGCCAGGAGGUGGGGAGACAAUGCAGAAAUUGCUUCCUCUGGAACAGCCUUCAUUGGAAUUCUGCGAAAGUGAAGGCCAUUUGGAACUUAGAGAGAGAGAUGGUUCUGGCCAAUCAGGAAGGAAAAUGGUGUCUGGAGGCAGGGAGACCUGGAGCGGAUCCCAGCUCUGCCACAUCUGGAGAGUCUAACUUCAGGUUGCAGAUGAGUAAACUGAGGCACAAGAGGGUUGGAAAUAUGCCCAAGGUCACCCACCUUGAGGAAGAGCUGGGCCCUAAGGUGGUUCAGGCUGACCCCAGAGGCCCCGUGGAACCCCUCUGCUGUCCUGAAUCGAGGCCCCGCACCCCAACCUUGAAUCUUCUUCGAAGGCAUCUCAGAGAAAACGUUUCAGUGAACCUGGAGGAUUAAGAAAACAAUGCAUAAUAGUGAACUCCUCUUCAUGCCUUUUGUUCCAUUGUUCCAGUUGGUUCCAGCGCCUCUCUAAGGGAUAACUUUGAGAAGCCAGCUAUUUCUGGCUAACAAAUGUGUGAAAUAAAUCAGAAUAUAUCCUGACUCCAGUACAGCAUGGAAACAGACCCACUUGGCUGUCUAAAGGGGAGUCAUAUUUGCAUGAAAAGACGAGUGAGUCGUUCUCCCUACAGAGCCUCUGGAGGAGUGUUCAGGGAGACCCUGCUUCUUUCUUUAAGGGGACAUUUGCAAUCCCAUGGACAGAAGCGCCCUGUGACUUUUCUCCACAUGACUAAUCCAGUCUCCUGUGACCUCUCUUUAGAGUGACGGCGAUGCGGGAAAGAGCCUGCAGCUUCUGCCGACCCCAAACAUUUAGUUACAUUAAUCACAGUGCGUUUUUGGACUUUGAGCAUCCAGAAGGAAAGACACUUUCUCGGGGAGACAUUGAUCAAACAGUCUACAGGUAUCUGUACAUCGAGGGACAUUAAUCAUCUCUGCAUUAUCUCGCCCACCAGUAGAAUAUGUAAAUGUGAUUCCUGUCAAUGAUAAGGAGAAGCGAAAUUAUUCUUUGAGAUUGGUCCAUCUGGAGCUGUUGAUACAAUCUUACCUAAGACAAUAGGUUGUAAAGAUAAAUUUUUUAGCAUUACUAAUCCAGCGGUGCCAAUAGCCAUGGAGAACGGAGAAAUUUAAAACCAAACCGAGGAUGUACAGUCAAGGGAAAGAGGAAAUCAAGCCCCAGUUUUGCUUUAGCUCCUGCAAUAUUAUUUGGCAACGUAGCAAGAAAGAUGCCUUCUGCAUAAUUAAGGAGGGCAUUUUUGGAAGGGUCUUGCUAGACAGCUGGAGAGUCUGUUCUGGAAAGGCUCACAUCCUGCCAAAGGUUUAACCCUCAACACACACAAGACAAAGGCCUUAAAAGCCAGAAUGGGAUUUCCAUUGUUUCUACAGACUGGAAGUCCAGGAAUUCCACCUCCCUGAGAAGAACCUUCCAGGACUCCUCUGACCUCAACUGCCCCUUAUAGAGUUGGCAAAAGGUGUUCAGUGUAGACAGGAACAGAGGAAAUGGAUAGAGCUCCAUGCAGAAGAAGGCAGAAGCUUCUAGUACCAGCCACACACCUCAAUGACUUUGCAACUUUGGGCAAAUCCCUCCCUAUUUCUGGUUCAUUUCUUGCAUAAGUUAAACUAAAUGGGUUGGAUAAGAUGAGGCCUUCUCCAAGACAGAAUGACAGGCCUUUCUAGGUGCGCCAUCUUCCCUGUUAGGGUUGAGGAAGUUAACAAGCUCAGCAGAGGGCCUUGAGAUGCCGACCUCCAGAGACAUCUCUUGCUCUCUCCAUUGUGUGGCCACAGUGCCCAGAAACUUCGGGCUGUUUGGUGCUGGUGAUCUUGUGAGAUGUCCUGUUAUGAGAGAAGCCUCUGGAGAGAGGACAUACAAGCUUGAAUGAACAUUGUCUCAACAGAGCUUUUAUUCUCCGGAAUCUUUGAAAGCAGGAGGGUGUCGUGGGAGCUGUUUCUUUUUAAAGUGUGAAUGCUAAGCACAUUUUGCUAAAAGUUCCAAAAUUCAAAGUUGUCCUGGGAAGAUUACCGAAAAUCAAUG
rnacentral:lncRNA from 1 species